rnacentral:rRNA from 1 species
UACACAGAGAGCUUGCUCUCGGGUGACGAGCGGCGGACGGGUGAGUAAUGUCUGGGAAACUGCCUGAUGGAGGGGGAUAACUACUGGAAACGGUAGCUAAUACCGCAUAAUGUCGCAAGACCAAAGUGGGGGACCUUCGGGCCUCAUGCCAUCAGAUGUGCCCAGAUGGGAUUAGCUAGUAGGUGGGGUAACGGCUCACCUAGGCGACGAUCCCUAGCUGGUCUGAGAGGAUGACCAGCCACACUGGAACUGAGACGCGGUCCAGACUCCUACGGGAGGCAGCAGUGGGGAAUAUUGCACAAUGGGCGCAAGCCUGAUGCAGCCAUGCCGCGUGUGUGAAGAAGGCCUUCGGGUUGUAAAGCACUUUCAGCGGGGAGGAAGGCGAUAAGGUUAAUAACCUUGUCGAUUGACGUUACCCGCAGAAGAAGCACCGGCUAACUCCGUGCCAGCAGCCGCGGUAAUACGGAGGGUGCAAGCGUUAAUCGGAAUUACUGGGCGUAAAGCGCACGCAGGCGGUCUGUCAAGUCGGAUGUGAAAUCCCCGGGCUCAACCUGGGAACUGCAUUCGAAACUGGCAGGCUAGAGUCUUGUAGAGGGGGGUAGAAUUCCAGGUGUAGCGGUGAAAUGCGUAGAGAUCUGGAGGAAUACCGGUGGCGAAGGCGGCCCCCUGGACAAAGACUGACGCUCAGGUGCGAAAGCGUGGGGAGCAAACAGGAUUAGAUACCCUGGUAGUCCACGCCGUAAACGAUGUCGAUUUGGAGGUUGUGCCCUUGAGGCGUGGCUUCCGGAGCUAACGCGUUAAAUCGACCGCCUGGGGAGUACGGCCGCAAGGUUAAAACUCAAAUGAAUUGACGGGGGCCCGCACAAGCGGUGGAGCAUGUGGUUUAAUUCGAUGCAACGCGAAGAACCUUACCUGGUCUUGACAUCCACAGAACUUUCCAGAGAUGGAUUGGUGCCUUCGGGAACUGUGAGACAGGUGCUGCAUGGCUGUCGUCAGCUCGUGUUGUGAAAUGUUGGGUUAAGUCCCGCAACGAGCGCAACCCUUAUCCUUUGUUGCCAGCGGUUAGGCCGGGAACUCAAAGGAGACUGCCAGUGAUAAACUGGAGGAAGGUGGGGAUGACGUCAAGUCAUCAUGGCCCUUACGACCAGGGCUACACACGUGCUACAAUGGCAUAUACAAAGAGAAGCGACCUCGCGAGAGCAAGCGGACCUCAUAAAGUAUGUCGUAGUCCGGAUUGGAGUCUGCAACUCGACUCCAUGAAGUCGGAAUCGCUAGUAAUCGUAGAUCAGAAUGCUACGGUGAAUACGUUCCCGGGCCUUGUACACACCGCCCGUCACACCAUGGGAGUGGGUUGCAAAAGAAGUAGGUAGCUUAACCUUCGGG